rnacentral:snoRNA from 1 species
GGCCUCCUGGUGCUUACCACAGGCUGUGUUCCUAACUGACUGUAUAGAAGGAGAAGGCAGAGUAAAUCUACCCCAUACACACCUCAGCCCAGGCCCUGUGCCAAGUCUGUAUUGUGAAUGGGGAGACAUGA